rnacentral:rRNA from 1 species
AAGAGACAGCAGUAGCCGCGGUAAUACGGAGGGGGCUAGCGCUGUUCGGAAUUACUGGGCGUAAAGCGUACGUAGGCGGCUUUGUAAGUUAGAGGUGAAAGCCCAGGGCUUAACUCUGGAACUGCCUUUAAGACUGCAAGGCUUGAACGUCGGAGAGGUGAGUGGAAUUCCGAGUGUAGAGGUGAAAUUCGUAGAUAUUCGGAAGAACACCAGUGGCGAAGGCGGCUCAAUGGACGACUGUUGACGCUGAGGUACGAAAGCGUGGGGAGCAAACAGGAUUAGAGACCCGAGUAGUCCCUGUCUCUUAUAA